AAUGAACGCUGGCGGCGUGCUUAACACAUGCAAGUUGAACGAGAAAGGCUAAUUUCGGUUGGCCGAGUAAAGUGGCGCACGGGUGAGUAACGCGUAGGCAACCUACCCUUGUAUUGGGGAUAACCCUGCGAAAGUGGGGCUAAUACCGGAUAAGACCCGAUUCUGGAGGGAAUUGGGUGAAAGUCGGCCGCUCGGAGAAGCUGACGUACGAGGAUGGGCCUGCGUCCUAUCAGCUAGUUGGUGGGGUAGCGGCCCACCAAGGCGACGACGGGUAGCUGGUCUGAGAGGAUGAUCAGCCACACUGGCACUGGAACACGGGCCAGACUCCUACGGGAGGCUG
rnacentral:rRNA from 1 species